rnacentral:tRNA from 1 species
AAAUUUAUAGUAAAAGGAAAAUCCGUUGAUUUCAAAAAUCGUGAGGGUUCA